GAUGAACGCUGGCGGCGUGCCUAAUACAUGCAAGUCGAGCGAACAGACGAGGAGCUUGCUCCUCUGACGUUAGCGGCGGACGGGCGAGUAACACGUGGAUAACCUACCUAUAAUACUGGGAUAACUUCGGGAAACCGGAGCUAAUACCGGAUAAUAUAUUGAACCGCAUGGUUCAAUAGUGAAAGACGGUUUUGCUGUCACUUAUAGAUGGAUCCGCGCCGCAUUAGCUAGUUGGUAAGGUAACGGCUUACCAAGGCAACGAUGCGUAGCCGACCUGAGAGGGUGAUCGGCCACACUGGAACUGAGACACGGUCCAGACUCCUACGGGAGGCAGCAGUAGGGAAUCUUCCGCAAUGGGCGAAAGCUUGACGGAGCAACGCCGCGUGAGUGAUGAAGGUCUUCGGAUCGUAAAACUCUGUUAUUAGGGAAGAACAACUGUGUAAGUAACUAUGCACGUCUUGACGGUACCUAAUCAGAAAGCCCCGGCUAACUACGUG
rnacentral:rRNA from 1 species